GACGAACGCUGGCGGCGUGCUUAACACAUGCAAGUCGAACGGAGCUAUUUAUUUCGGUAGAUAGCUUAGUGGCAAACGGGUGAGUAACGCGUAGGCAACCUGCCCUCAGGAUGGGGACAACGGCUCGAAAGAGCCGCUAAUACCGAAUGACGUAACUCUUCCACAUGGAAGAGAUACUAAAGAUGGGUCAAACCAUCGCCUAAGGAUGGGCCUGCGUCUGAUUAGCCAGUUGGUGAGGUAACGGCUCACCAAAGCGACGAUCAGUAGCCGGUCUGAGAGGAUGAACGGCCACAAUGGGACUGAGACACGGCCCACACUCCUACGGGAGGCAGCAGUGGGGAAUCUUCCGCAAUGGGCGAAAGCCUGACGGAGCAACGCCGCGUGAGUGAAGAAGGUCUUCGGAUCGUAAAGCUCUGUUGUCGGGGACGAAAGAGUAGACGAGG
rnacentral:rRNA from 1 species